CGGGUGCACUGAUCCAGCCGGGCCUUUCCCUCUGUGGAACCCCAUGGCCUUCACUGGCUGUGGUGGGGAAACAGGACUUUUACUUUGAAAAAAUUAGAGUGCUCCAGGCAGGCCUAUGCUCGAAUACAUUAGCAUGGAAUAAUAGAAUAGGACGUGUGGUUCUAUUUUGUUGGUUUCUAGGACCGCCGUAAUGAUUAAUAGGGACAGUCGGGGGCAUCAGUAUUCAAUUGUCAGAGGUGAAAUUCUUGGAUCUAUUGAAGACUAACUACUGCGAAAGCAUUUGCCAAGGAUGUUUUCAUUGAUAAGGAACGAAAGUUAGGGGAUCGAAGACGAUCAGAUACCGUCGUAGUCUUAACUAUAAACUAUGCCGACUAGGGAUCGGACGAUGUUAUUCUUUGACGCGUUCGGCACCUUUCGAGAAAUCAAAGUGCUUGGGCUCCAGGGGGAGUAUGGUCGCAAGGCUGAAACUUAAAGAAAUUGACGGAAGGGCACCACCAGGGGUGGAACCUGCGGCUUAAUUUGACUCAACACGGGGAAACUCACCAGGUCCAGACACAGUGAGGAUUGACAGAUUGAGAGCCCUUUCUUGAUUCUGUGGGUGGUGGUGCAUGGCCGUUCUUAGUUGGUGGAGUGAUUUGUCUGCUUAAUUGCGAUAACGAACGAGACCUUAACCUGCUAAAUAGCCCGUACUGCUUUGGCAGUUCGCCGGCUUCUUAGAGGGACUAUCGG
rnacentral:rRNA from 1 species